GCAGUGGAGGCUCCCGCUCCAGUCGGUUCACUCCGAGACUCACGACCCCGAGACUCGCCUCUCUGGGGGAGCCUCUCACUCGCCUCGCUCUCCCAGCUUCACUGAAGACCCUUCUCGCCGACUUGCUGCCGCAGACGGUCGAAGGAUGAGAACAUCUCCGAGGAACUCGUGAACCCGGACACGAUGGUCGUGGAUACAAGUGGUGUGCUGUACCUUGACCGGGGCACUUCCAGCAAGCCACGGCUAGCUGAUUGGAAGUUUGGCCAUGAAUCGGUCUCCCAGCCCCGGGAGGGAGAUGCUUCCCCAUUGUAUGAAAACCAACAGCCACCGGGGUUCGUCCAGCAGAAGGACGGCCACAGAUUUAUCAACGUUGCGCCUUGCGCCAGCCAACUAUGGUAAGCAGGCACGAGCGUCCGCCUCACCCCGACCCCGCCGCCUGCGAGAUGGGAGAUUGAGCGUGUGCUGCUGGUUCGGCACCUCCGGGAAUGCAUUAUUUGCUCCGCUGCGGGUCUCCUGCCAUCGUUCUCCCAUUCAUAUGUUUCAUUGCUUCUACAUAUUAUUAACAUGCCCUCCCUUUGUUAAUGCUACCCCCCCUCCCUUUGGUGCUGCUGAUCCUGCAUAAUGCAUGGGCAUAAUAUGACUUUGAACCCCCCCCGCCCACCUCCUACGCAUUUUCCCAUGAAUAUGCUAAAUUCCUCUUGAUAUGCACAUUCUUUUGUUAAGGCUCUCUUCUUCUUCCACCUCCAACUCAGCUUAUAUAUAAGCUCCUAGCUUGGCAGUGUCUCAUUCUUCACCUGAAGACGGCUGCUUGCGUUGUAGUCGAAACUUCGUGAGAAUUAUUUGAUUUUAUUAUGUUUUAUUUUUAUUAUUUUAUUACUUCCCUUCUACGUGACUUUACCGAAAGAACCAAGAAGAUGAAUCCCUGCAGUCACGAAAGCUUUAAAUCGAAGUAUAUGGAUUCUUGCAGUCACGAAAACUUCAAAUCAAGAUUCGGUAAUACAUCUUAAGUACCAAAUAUUAGUUUUUGUAUUUUGUGUACUGCGCCAACUCUGAUUCGGAUGUUUUGUUUUUCCAAAAAUCAGGCUAGUUGAUGUUCGGUAUUUUAGUAGUUUGAAUUACUUGGUCAGUUUAACUCGUGUUAUUAGUUACAACUAUUCAAAAUACCGUACAUUGUGGGAGUAAUGGAUAAACUAGUGAGACUUUAUGAAAAACAAAACAUCCUAGUCAGAUUUGGCAUGGUACAUAAAAUACAUGAACUAAUAUCUGGUACUGAAGAUUUAUUAACGAAGCAUUUAACAGAAGGUGUGUAACGGAUGAAAUGCACUUGCGCCCAAUGCUAUGUUGAGCAGACAGGAAGAAUGAUCAGUACGAGACUAAAUUAACACCAAAGAAAUAUUAAAUACUCCCAAAUACAACUGUCAGCAGUGUUAGAACACGCAUGCCAACAAGGACACUCAUUGACGUUCUGUGCAAGACUAGUUACUACUGGCCAAGACUAAUUAGAGAAUCUAUCGAAAUGGAGAUAAAUACAAAUAAUUAAUAAUAAAGAUUUUUGGGUUUUAUCGCGUUAUUUAUAAAUGUGUCGUAACCCUCCACCACCCGACACAGCCGAACAGUAAAAAAUUGUUACGUUGACAAAAGACAAAUAGUCGUGAACUAUUUGACUUUUGUCAACGUGACUCAAUUUUGGUGGAGGGUUACGACACAUUUAAAUAACGCGAUCUAACCCAAAAACCUUUGUUAUGAAUAAUAUUGUUCGCGAAAGUCCUACGUGUUACAUACAAAUAAUCUUAACCAUUCGGAUAGCUACAGCCUUAGCGCUGCACAGAAUUGAAUGUUCAAAUAAUUGUUUAAAUGCAUGCCUAUACAGGUCACCAUACAUAAAUGGGGAUCAACUGUAUGCAGACAAUACCAGGUGCUGUUAUUUUAUUGCACUCAAACGACAGGAGGUACAAGAAUAAUGCUCAUGCACAAUGUACGUUGAUUAACAUAUCAAUAACCCAACCGGCAAUGGAUACCCCCAUUGUUAUUCAUAUGCAUACAUUAAUCCUCCCCCUUCGCACAAGAAGGGCUCACAAGUGACGUCAUCACAUCUAUCCCUCUUGAAGGAAUGAAACAGGAGGAUUUAUACACAAAUCUCCUGUCGCCUGAUGAAGCUAUUUGUAAUUACUGGCCAAACGUCAUAUUCAGAUUGUAAAUGAUGUGGAUUUACUCUCCAACACACCGGUGUGCUGUACUUCUAAUGAAUUGGCAUGUUCUGUUUACGUGACAAACCUUACUGUGUCGGGUGGUGGCGUGUUCCACAACACAUUUAUAUUUACGCAAUCUAACUCAUAAAACUUAUGUUAUGUAUUACCAACUGUAAAUAAA